AUGUGAGCUUCUUUUCCGUUUGUCUGCCGACACUAGGACCUCCCCUGCCCCCACGAGAUUUGUAUCUGUACCUGACUACGAUGAGGAGUACAAUGACUGUGAUGAUGAUGACUAUGAUGGAACCGAAUAUGGCAUCAACCAUCCUGUUAAUAUGGGGAAAGGAAGAAGGGCGAGCCCAUCAAGCUCGUCUUCACCGGCAAGAAGAAGGGAAUCACUCCCGUCGCCUCCUUCAGCGCCCUCGACAAGGAGGGCGAGGACCCCACCCCGUCUGCCGCAGCCGAGCCGAAGCCCAGCAACGAUCCAGCCGAGGACGACAUAAGCACUUUGUAAAUCUCCC
rnacentral:misc_RNA from 1 species